CAAUAGCGUAUAUUAAAGUUGUUGCAGUUAAAAAGCUCGUAGUUGGAUUUCGGAACCGGCCGAUUGGUCCGUCCUCUGGAUCGUGUACUGAUCGGUCUGUUCUUCUUCGCGAAGACCGCGUGUGCCCUUAACUGGGUGGGCGCGGGAUUCGCGACGUUUACUUUGAAAAAAUUAGAGUGUUCAAAGCAGGCAGUCGCUUGAAUAUCUCAGCAUGGAAUAAUAGAAUAGGACUUUGGUCUUAUUUUGUUGGUUUCCGAGACCGAAGUAAUGAUUAAUAGGGACAGUUGGGGGCAUUCAUAUUCCAAUGUCAGAGGUGAAAUUCUUGGAUUAUCGGAAGAUGAACUUCUGCGAAAGCAUCUGCCAAGGAUGUUUUCAUUGAUCAAGAACGAAAGUUAGGGAUCGAAGACGAUCAGAUACCGU
rnacentral:rRNA from 1 species